rnacentral:rRNA from 1 species
UUGCCUACGGGAGGCAGCAGUGGGGAAUAUUGCACAAUGGGGGAAACCCUGAUGCAGCGACGCCGCGUGAGUGAGGAAGUAUUUCGGUAUGUAAAGCUCUAUCAGCAGGGAAGAAAAUGACGGUACCUGACCAAGAAGCCCCGGCUAACUACGUGCCAGCAGCCGCGGUAAUACGUAGGGGGCAAGCGUUAUCCAGAUUUACUGGGUGUAAAGGGAGCGUAGGCGGCUGUGUAAGCCAGAAGUGAAAGCCCGAGGCUCAACAACGGGACUGCUUUUGGAACUAAAUGGCUUGGUUGCAGGAGAGG